CCUGUACCUCCCCCCGCGGUGGUAGGCUGUAGCUAGCCUGGCCCCUACUUUGAAUUUUAAAGUUGCCAUGCAUAUUUUAUUUAUUUAUGACUGAAACUAAUGUAGCUUUGCACUUUUGAGUUGUGUUUAGUCAGUCACAUUUCUUUGACUGUCUAAUUUUCUCACCUUGCUUAUUUUCAUUCCAGUGUUUCGAGACGGAGAAGGGUCGUCUAAACAAUGGGUGUACUAAAAUGGACUCGGAGGUUCAGCUACGGUGAUGCCCUUGCUCAAUGUGUAUCCACUAAUGAAGUUGUUUAUGCUCAAACCAUGAAAAGGAGCCAAGAGCAAGGCCAAAAACAUAUCAAAAGAGAAGCAACAUGCAAACUUCAUUGGUCAAGGAUGUCUCACUUAAGCCUCAUCCUUGGAAAGUCCUUGCAGAUAUUGGUUGGAUCUGGGAGAAUAGAGACCAACAAACAUGACAGAAGUGAGGUCGUUCUAGCUUAAGAAACAGAGAAGCUAAGCAGAUGGAACAUACAUAUUACACGGAGCUUUUAAUCCACUAAGUUCAGUCCCACAAGUAAUGUACAAAAUUAAACAGCUUAUGCGACAAGGCAAGGCCCCUAAAGAAGAAACGAUAGCGCAGCUGCCGAAUUCACCUUCUUUGGUCCCUAGGGAGCCCUGCUUGCAGGCAAAGAUGAAUUCAGUUUUUGUUAUGUCUGUGAUCUACUAUUUUCUUUCCUUUUUCUCGUUCAUGUUAUUGAUGGUUGUAAUCAAUCAGACUGAUCAAUGCAAUCUUUCAUGUCUUUUCCUCUUUCAA